ACUCCUACGGGAGGCAGCAGUGGGGAAUAUUGCACAAUGGGCGCAAGCCUGAUGCAGCCAUGCCGCGUGUGUGAAGAAGGCCUUCGGUUGUAAAUGCACUUUCAGUCGUGAGGAAGGUGGUGUUGUUAAUAGCAGCAUCAUUUGACGUUAGCGACAGAAGAAGCACCGGCUAACUCCGUGCCAGNACCGCGGAAUACGGAGGGUGCGAGCGUUAAUCGGAAUUACUGGGCGUAAAGCGCAUGCAGGUGGUUUGUUAAGUCAGAUGUG
rnacentral:rRNA from 1 species